rnacentral:misc_RNA from 1 species
AUUUGCGAUCAAUAUAUUCUGUCAAUGCUAACAAAUAAUAAAUUGAUUUGGAGUCACUCUGGGUCAAAAUUGAAAUUGGGAACCAUAAAUCACUCAUACACUGUUCUGGAGAGAUACUAGCCAAUGUUAUAAAUCUCAUACUCCAAACUUCUAUAGCGCAAAAAAAAAAAAGUUUAUCUUUUUAACAUAUGGAAAAUGAUAUGCAUGGUAUCCCAACAGAAAUACCCAAACAUCUCCCCUUAACGUGACCUCAACACCUCCACAAUGAUCCCAAUUAUGGAGUUUUGAUUCAUCCACCCUUUCGUUUCUUAAUGGAAGCAAUCCUUCCCAUUGCAAUAAGAAUUACCAAGAGAGUGAAAUAAGGCCAAGAUUAUACGUUCCCAAACUUUGAUGUCUUCUGUUAGAGAUAUCACGUUAGAAUUAUGAAUGCCAAGAUUCCGAUGAACACCAGA